CAAUAUUCCUCUCUAUAUUUCAACAUUGAGGAGAGGAAAAAAUUCAAACAGAAAACGAAAAUCAGGAGAAGAAAAGGUUGAUUCAUUAUGAAACUUGUAGUCUUGCUUGGUUUGUUAUUCACAACCCUAAUUAGCCGAUCUGAAGCAAAAGUAACUGUUGCAAUUCAAGAUGCUACACCUGAUGGAAGAAGUAGGAUUCACUGUUAUUCCGGGGAUGAUGAUCUUGGGUAUCAUGACCUUGGAUCCAACCAAACUUUCACAUUUGGAUUCAAUCCGAACAUUUUUGGAACAACAAAGUUUUCCUGCUUCUUUAAAACAAUUUAUGGUUUUGGCACGUAUGGCGUUUUCAAUAGCGGAUUGUACCACAAGUGUGGAAAUUAUUGUCUCUGGUCCGUAAUGCGGGAUGGUCCAUGUUUACAUUGUACAGAGGGUGAAUUAUACUGCCAAAAAUGGACGGAUAUGCCCUACGAAGCAUUACAGCUUACUGAUUAAGGCUAUGCUAAAUGUUUUAAUCUUG
rnacentral:lncRNA from 1 species